rnacentral:misc_RNA from 1 species
UUUUUAGAGAAGCUGAAUUAAAAAUCCAUUUUUAUCCUAGAAAGUAAAUGGGUUCUUCCAAAUUCUUUUCAUGUUAAAAUACAACAAGGUGUAGGCAAAAAUUUCCCUCGUUUCAUAACAUUAUCUACAACAUUCAAUAUAUUUUUCUGCAAUGUAUAUGCCAUUCAAAGCAUUACUUACAAUCUUCGGGUCAUUCAUCUGUAACAAAAUGAGUAUAACCCAGAGAAGAGAAACUUGCCAUGAAAUUGCUGGAUUUACAAGCAAAUUUACUAAACAUUACAGGUUGCAGCUCGACCUAAUUCAACAUGGAAUUUGUGGCCCCAUUAUCUCGAGGAGCUGUGAUUAUCAUGCAUGACUAACAGCAAAGAGUACAGUUCUAACAUGAGCAGAUCUCCAAUUGGGUGCCACUGGAGGAAAAUUACGAUGGGUGUUUAUGGAUUUGAAAACCAGGUUUUAACUUGUCAUUGUCAAUACCAUCUUUCUUUGCAGGUAAAUUAGCAGCUGCCUUUUCUUUCAAAGCUUCCUUCUCCAAUUUCUUCUUUUCAGCCUCAGCCUGCCUUUCAUUCUCCUCUCGUGACUUAUUGAACAUCUUCACAAAAAGGACCAAGGUUUGUGUCACUUGCUCAAAGGGACAACGAGCUGGAUCCUCUCCAAAGUACUGGGACAAUGAAUCUGCAUUUCUUCCCACUUCAGAAUAUAACGAGAUAAGCAACCGCACUUCAGCUUCGGCAGUAUCAAGAAAGUUCUUCAACACCCUUUGAAAGCCUGCAGAGAUAGCACCAUCAUUUGCUGAAGCAGCAAGCUCUUGCUCAACCUUUUCAAGACCUUUACUCACAGCUUGCAUUUCUUCAGCCAAGUUUUUCAAUUGAAUCUUUGAGGCUGCUUCUAUAUGUACAAGGUCCUUAUCAAAAUCUAGCAACUCUGGCAUCUUCUCAGAAAGGAGCUUGCAUAAGUAGUGCAUUAAAGUCAUUUUGUUAUUUCUUGCACGAGUGUCAGAUAACUUAAGAAGGCUGUCCAAUUUGAAUCCAACAGCAGAUCCUCUUGCAGUGCCCUGAUUCAAAGCAUUUCCUAAAGUCAGAAUUGUUUGCAUUAUCUGACGCAAUUUCACAGAUUCUUUUACCUCUCUAGCAGCACCAUUAAUAGUAUUUAGGUGACAUCUUAAAUCUUCCACCUGACUAGAAAAUGUGAUUCUGAAGGCAAAUACUCGAAGCUUAGCUUCUACUCGUGGAACCUUCAUCAACUCCAGGAAAAACUGUUCACACUUCCCCAGCAUUUCCUUGUCACCAGUAUAAUUCUUCAGCGUCUCCAUUUCUUCCUUGGUGGGACAGAAUUUGAUGAGAUUCUCAACCUGAUCAAUAUCUAAAGAUGAAGAAUCCAAAGCUAGAACAGCAUUAAUCAUGUCCGGCAAAGGUAUUUUUAUCUUUGUGAGCAUUAUUUCACAAUUAUAUGCCCUACGCAAGUCAACUAAUUGCACUUUCUCAGGUUUGUUAAUGUUAGAACCACGUCGUACUCCAGCUUUAUUACUACCACUUCCAUCUGAAGCAGAAGCAGCUGAGAACAAGCUUUCAAGUUCUGAUAUAUCAAUUUCGGGGGCCCUUGACUGAUUUUCCUGCUUCUGUGAAUCUGCCCACAAACUCCCUUGCAUUGCUCGAGUAACUUUCACCCAAUGUAAAGGUUUUAGUGAAGUUUUCCUAGGCGCAUUACCAGUCCCACCAGUACUCCGACCUCUUCCAUGGCCACUAGGCCCUGAAGAAGCUUUUCCCCUUCCAAUAGAUGGAGGUGGCGGUGGUGGCACACUAGAGGCCUUGGCUCCAGGAGGGGGUGGUGGUGGUGGACCUGGUGCUGUGUUGCGACCUGGUGGUGGAGGGGGAGCAGGAGGAUUGGGUGCUGAUGAUGGAGGUGGUGGGACUGAACUAGGCCGCAUAGGUCCUGAAGGAGGGGGAGGAGGAGGAGGGGGGCAAGGUGUCUUCAUGGUAUUACUAGGGUUUCGACCCAAAGGAGGUGGAGGAGGUGGAGGCGGCAGUGCCGCUGCCAAAGAGAAGUUUGAGCGUGAAGACAGUGUCUGAGAUGGCGGCAGUGGUGGCGGUGGUGGUGGAGGUGGAGGCCGUAGACUAUUAGUUGAACUGAUCAAGGAUGGUGGCUGUGGUGGUGGUGGCGGUGGCGGUGGUGGUGUUGGACUUGAACCUGCUGUUGGGUACCCAUAAAUGGAGCAGGAACAGAGUUAGACCCCACACCAUCAACCUUCCCAGGUAUCACUAGCUGAGGAGAACAAGUAAGGCCAUUCUGCACAGGCUGGAAGGCAGAAGAGUGAAAUGAUUUGAAAGCUGUUGUGGACUCUUGACUUGUCAUUAAAAGCUUCUGGAUUAGGGUUAACAUUUUUAGCUGUGGAAGCCAUGUCAAUAUUGUUGCUACUGCCAUUAGACUGCCGAUUGAGAACAUCUGUUAAAUGAAAUGGAAUAUUAUGCAUGGUCUCUGUCUUCAUUGCAACUGAGCUAUUAUCAAGUGGAGAACAACUACCGACAUUCCCCGUGGGACCCUGAUUAGCAGAACAGGCAGUAUUGUAUUUUGAGAAUGCUGACAAAUCUGAAUGCCGUAAAACAUUACAAUCAUCAUUCACAGCAUUUCCACUGUCUCUCACUCUUUUCAGCCCUUCUAAAGCUAACUGAAGAGAUCGCAACUCUCCAGAAUCACAGCAUGAUUUAUCUUUGAGUUGCAAGACGUCAGGACCAUUUGAACCACCAAUUUUUUUGUUUUCAACAUGUUGGUUGACAGAAUUGGUAUCUGCACCAGCCGUUUUCCGAGUUCCGUCCCUCAGUUUGGUACAUAUAUUUUUUUUGUUGUGUUCCAACUUCCCAUUCUCAAGUGGCUUAAUAUCCAUCUCAGAAAUUUUGCUUUGCCUUUUGCUUGUGGGGUGGGGAGAAAAAUUCUCACAUUGACAGUCAUGUUGUAAAUCUGGAUUGCUAGAUACUCCAAUUUCCAAGUCUUUACCCAUUGCGAUAUCAUCUUAAAAGUGAAAUGCACAAAGUAUUAUUUUAUUCUUUUAGAGUAAAAAAGGGGCAAGAAAACAAUGAUUGAACUGAGAAAAAACAGGUAGACAACAUUAAAGUAUACCGUGUUUGUCAUCCUUUUGCUGGCAUUCUUUUGUUUCAGUGACAUGCACCCAUCUGUUACUUUUUCAGGCUUUGUAUGGAUCACCUGUGCACAAGUGCUAUCAGGAGCAUCAGCUAAUUGAAAUGACGGUGAUAUUGGUCGAGGGCUGUCAAAUUCGGCUGUCCUUUUUGUCCAUGAACUCUGUGUGCCACUUCCCUUAUCACUUCCAUCCUGAUUACUCAGACCAUAGCUCCCAUUGUCGUAAAGCUCAUUGCUGCUGUCAGAAUUGUUUCCAGACUCUUCGUUACUUAUUGUCUUCGUGGAUUUUUUACUUUGUGUCCCACUUUCACUUCCACUACCACUAGACUGAGAAAGGAUGAGAAAUUAAACCAAGGUUGAGCAGUAAAUUUCAUGUCCCAGAGUCAACUGAAUUGUCACUAAUUGAUCAAAUGUAUCAUGCAGUAAUCUGCUGUAAAACAGAAUUACUGUAAAGCCACAGAGAAGCUGCAAUAAUUUGAAUCUAUUUCUAUGGCAGUAUUUAGUGUUAGUUUGGCAUUGCAGUGCACCAGCUGCGCGCAAAAUCCAAGAAAUUAAAACAGCAACUGUGCACAAAAGUUGGAGAACAAAGCUUCUUGUGAAGCAGCGUUUUAGUAUCCUUGGCGUUUGCACACCUCAAAGCCAAACUAGGUCCUAACCUUUUUAGCAAAAUCUGCUGCACUUGUACCUUCUAGGAAGGGGUACUAAAUUAACCUUACAUCCAAUAAAGGUUAAAAAAAAUUAAAAUAAAAUCAACCAUAUAAAAUAUACAUAUCGGUUCUUAGCAUUUCUUAUUUUCUCUGAAGUACAAAUAUGAAGGAACUCACACUGUGGCAUCUCCUCCAAACGUGUUGCCAUAGGUUUUUAAGUUCAUUCUUCCGAAUAGGUUUCACUAAAAAAUCAACUGCACCUUUUGAUAGACACUUAAAAACUAUACCCAUAGAAUCACGGGAUGACAUCACUGCAACCACAACUCAUCAAGUGUGAUAAUUAAAUGCAUCAAAAUCAGCAAUAAUCAUGGGCAAUUAAGCAUUACAUUUCAUAGAAGUACAUCAUCUAAGCCCAACAGAGCAAUACUUACUUAUCACCGGAAUAUUCUUGAGAGUUUUGUGGCUCAUAAUCUUACAUAAAAGGCCAAUUCCAGAUAAGAUAGGCAUGACUACCUCUGUUAGGAUGAGAUCAAUAUGAUUAUUUAGAUCUUCCAGAAUUUUCCAGGCUUGAAUACCAUUUGCAACAGCAGUAACUUCAUAACUGCAAUUCCGUAGUAGAGCACUGACAACAUGACGUGUUGAAUCAUCAUUUUCCACUAGAAGAACUUUCAGAGACCUAAUAGGGAGAAACCUCUCCCAGCGUAUGACAGAAUUUUGAGAUUGUUGUUGCGCUAUCUGGAACCCAUCAUACACCUGAACUGCUCCUCCAGGCCCAUGGUUUUCUUCAUCAGGUGCAUCAUCAACGCUAUUAUCAUCUUCCUCAGAUAAGCCUAAAUCCUGACCCUCACCCAUCACUCCAUUCCUAGCUUCCUUCUAUUUACAAUACAUUCAGUUCUUACCAUCAGCCAACCCUUUCUCGCCCACCGCACUAGCAACCAUCAACCAGUUUCAAAAAGACCAUUGAUGAGGUAUGCAUAGGAUUGCAUAGACAAGAUACUCGUUUUUAAUUUACUAUUACAAGUAGAUGCCGUUUUCCCCAUAAAUCAAACUCUAAAAACACAAGCCAUUCAACAGAAUCCCAAUCCAAUAAAUGUUUUCAGCAAUCAACAUUAAUUAUAGAACUAAGAAAAAUGAAAAGAUUCAUCAAAUCCCAAAUCAUGCUCCAGCUAACAUCAUUUCACAAAAAGCAACUAGAAACUCAAUGCCCAUCCCCACUAUGUAUAACUCUAGCAGAAAUGAAAAAUAUCACUUUGCAUUUCUACUGGGGAGAAAAAAGAAGAUAUUAGUUCAUACCAGAAAAAGAAAAUAACAUUUCAUACACUGACAAUAUAUAUUCCCAUUAGCAUGGAAAUAUACUAAAUAAAAUCUCUCUCCCACCAUCAAAAUCUCUUGGACAACAACUUAAAGCCCCAAAACUAUGCAAACUGAUAAUGGAAAGAUUUUAACUGCAUUUCUGCACUACCUGAAUACAGAAUCCUUAUAUAUUAACAGAACCUUGAUUUCCAAUAUUUUAGCAGCUAAAAUAGGAGGGAAAAGAAAGACAAAUGAACAAAUUAUCCUCUUUUUAGAACCAAUUUUUUUUUUAAAAAAAAAAAAAAGAAACUUUGGGAUUGCUAAAUCACUGAUGAAAUAAAGCAACGGGACCACCAUAGUAUUUUUGUUUUUUAACUCCUCCCAAGGAAAGGGUGGUUAUUGGAUCAUUUACUAAUUUAAGCCUGAUAAACUAUAUAUAUUUUUUUUUCUUCGAGGAAAGGUAAAAGUGAAUUCUAUUGUGGAGCCGUAUGCAAUGCACAAACAAUGCCUGUACGGUUGUUCAAUUCUAUCUUUUUUUUUCUUAUUAUUCUUUAUCUCUUCUCGUCACUUUAUUAUUUAUUAUGCGAGAUAAAAUAACCAUUUUUUUCUUAUAUCAUCAGGGUAAUGAUUCAUCAACCUAUUGCUGGUUUUUAUGAGGCACAAAUAGGAGAAUUUGUCCUGGAAGCGGAAGAACUACUGAAACUGCGCGAAAUCCUCACAAGGAUUUAUGCACAAAGAACGGGCAAACCCUUAUGGGUUGUAUCCGAAGACAUGGAAAGAGAUGUUUUUAUGUCAGCAACCGAAGCCCAAGCUUAUGGAAUUGUUGAUCUUGUAGCAGUUGCAUAAGAAAUAGCAGAAAUUUUCCUGCAAAUCGCAAUUUGAGAUUUUAUUUUCUUACCAGAAUUUCAAUUUAAUAUUCUAUUAUUUUAUUAAUAAUUAAUAUUUAAUAUCUAUUAUUCUAUUAAUAUUUAAUAGAAUAUUCAUAUAGAAAAAAUUCAUAAUCAUCCGGUUAGGAUCGAUCUAAACCAGCCCAUUAUGCUAUGCAUACGAUUCAACAUGCCAACUAUUAAACAACUUAUUAGAAACACAAGACAGCCAAUCAGAAAUGUCACCAAAUCCCCCGCUCUUGGGGGAUGUCCUCAGCGCCGAGGAACAUGUACUAGGGUGUAUGUGCGACUUGUUCAGAUCGUGAGCUUGGACAAAAGAAAGGAAAAAAUUUUCCACUAUCUGUGAUCAGUACGGAUGAAUAGAAUAGAAUGGAAGAAUCCCCUUCAUUAUCUAAAAAAAAAGAUU